rnacentral:ncRNA from 1 species
UGGACGGAGAGUUCGAUCCUGGCUCAGGAUGAACGCUGGCGGCGCGCCUAACACAUGCAAGUCGAACGGCACCCCUCCUCGGAGGGAAGCGAGUGGCGAACGGCUG